GAAUUAUUUUGUUGUUGUUGUUUUUCUAAGUUGCAUCUCUUUUCCCUUUUUCCUCUUACUGUUACUCAUUCCUUUUACAGCGGGUGCGUCUUUCCAUAGGACAUGGCUCAUUGCAGUAGUACAUUGAAGGUUAUGGGCAGGUUGGUUCACAGCACAGCAUCCUGGGAAGUUGGGCCAAUACAAGUGCUUUUCCAUGCAAAGACAUCCCAUAUGGUUGUUUGUCACCACAUCCAACGUACUCAAUGUCAGUGUGCAGAGAUCUCAUCUCCAAGCCAUGCUGGCUUAGCAGCUGGAAGCCAGCACCUUUCUUCCACCAGAUACCAUCCAACCUUGAAUCCCAUCAUCCAGAUAUGCAGAACAGUGGCCCAAAGCAAAGCUCUUCCUUCACUGAUACUUCUAUCCAGAUGAUGGGUUAGUUUAGAUGGUAAAGAACUUUUCUAACAUUACCAAUGUGAAGAAAUAAAGAGCUAUCAAACCAAA
rnacentral:lncRNA from 14 species